GGCAUUUUAUUUUUAAAACACAGUAUUCUUCAUGUGUAUGCCCCAAAUUGGCGACUUAGUUUUUGAACUGUCUGUGGGUCGGUCGGUCAGCCCGUCAUACUUUUCGUGCCUGUUCUCUAAUUCAAAUAGUUUUCAUCCGAUCUUCACCAAACUUGGUCAGAAGCUGUGUCUAGACCAAGUUCGAACAUGGCCAUGUGGAAUCCUGGGUUUCUUACAAUUGUAUGGAUUAUUUUUUAUAUUGUUACAAAGUUGAAAUAUGGGGCAUCCGUGUCGUGUGGACACAUUUCUUGUUUGAGAUUUUUUCAAUAGAUCCAUCAAUUAUAUAUAUGCAAAGUAGUAGGCACAUUUUAAAGCAUAUGCUAAUGUUUGUAAAUUGAUUAUUGUAAAAGCAUUAAUGUGCUGUGUAAUCAUUUCUUUAAAUUAAAAUCGGAGAUAACCCAUGAAGGUGCAAGCACAUUUUCCAAUUUGAAAUUCUGUUUUCCUGUUCAGGCAUUCAAAGGACAGUGCAAGAAGUACGAGCGGGACCAACAUACUGUUCAAACAUAGAGGACCAAGAUGUUGAAGUUACAACUUUACCCCCACCUGUACCCAAGCCUGGUCCAGCAGGGCUAGACACUACUGGGAAGGAAUUUGUUUUCUUUGAUUUGGAAACAAGAGGGUUAGAGCGUACUUCUCACAUAAUUCAGAUAGCUGCAGUGCAUUCAACUGGUCAGUUUUCAACAUAUGUGAUGCCUGAGAAGAAGAUGUCCUUGAAAGCGUCAGAAAUAAGUGGAGUGACAGUUGUUGGAGACUCUAUGCUUGUUAAGGGACAUAAAGUAACAGCUGUCCCCAUCAAAUCUGCAUUGACACGUUUUAUAACAUUCUUACAGAAAUUUUCACCAGAAAUUUUAGUUGGGCAUAACAUAGAGUGUAUCUGAUUGUAAAGUGUUGCUCCAUGCUGUCCAUACUUGUGGAAAAAUGUUUGAGUUUCAGCAAAAUAUUUGUGGCUUUUUAGAUACUUAAAAAUGUUAAAAGAAAUAUUACCAAAUAUAAAAUCAUAUAAGUUAUAAGUCAAGGUAUUACAAGGAAAGUUGCAGGAAGUGGAUUGCAACUUAAACAUUUGAGUAUUGAAUCAAAAAGAAACGGACUGAGUGGUUUGAGGAGCCCCCUGUCAGAGGUUACAAACGGACAAAUCAGAGUAACAAAAUCAGAGAAAAUAAUAUGUGCAAUAGCGAGUUAUUUGUUGCCUGACAUCUAACCAAUUGUAAUUUGCAUCUUGUAUAUAGAUUAGCUAUGAAAUUGUUUUUCCUUCUCGAUGUUGUGAUUCUUAUGUCAGUUGUAUUUCUCAUGUUUCACCUAAGUUGAAAGAUAUUUUUGGCAGUGCAUUAAACCACAGAUGGUGUGUGAAACAUUAUUGCCCCGCUUAUUGUAUUCAAUGUUGUUUUUAGCUCCACUGGCCAAAGGCCAGCAGGGCUUAUGUCAUGAUCCUGUGUCCGUCGUGCGUGCGUCAACUUUUCCUUUAAACAUCUUCUUCUAUGUUAUAAAUAUUAAGUUAUAAAUAUAGUCUUAAAUAAUGACGACCGACUGUUGGUGACUCAAGUUAUAUUUCUUUUUUUUGUAUUUUGAUUAUUUAGAAUGCAAAAAAUAUAAUGCUAUAUAUCAUAUAUUUGACUGACUCUGUUACAUAUGUACUCAUGUUUGUCAUAUAUUCAGUGCAAAUGUGUAGUACAUGCACAAUGUUGAUAUGUAAAUUUUACAUUGAUUAUAGCUUGAAAGCAAUGUAUUCGUAUUGUAUUAAGCGUAUGGUG